rnacentral:rRNA from 1 species
UACGUAGGGGGCUAGCGUUGUCCGGAAUCAUUGGGCGUAAAGCGCGUGUAGGCGGUCCGGUAAGUCCGCUGUGAAAGUCGGGGGCUCAACCCUCGAAUGCCGGUGGAUACUGUCGGGCUAGAGUGCGGAAGAGGCGAGUGGAAUUCCUGGUGUAGCGGUGAAAUACGUAGAUAUCAGGAGGAACACCGGUGGCGAAGGCGGCUAUCUGGCCCUAUACUGACGCUGAGAUACGAAAGCGUGGGGAUCAAACAGG